GGGUAGCAAUAACAGUAACAGUAACAGUAGCGGUACACAAAGUACCUCAUCAGAACAAAUUUGGAACAGUAACAGUAACAGUCAAAUACGGAGUACCUCUUCGGAACGAAUCCGGAACAGUCAUAGUAGUCGACAUAUAUAGUGUCUCAUCGACACACAGUCAGAAUAUCCCUGAACACUUCCAAUCCUAUGACAUGCCAACUAUAUCCGACUAGCCUGAUACAAUUAAUAGGGUAUUCAAUAAACUUUCAAAUUUUCAAUUUUAUUUGUAAUUUAAUUUCAAUUCAAUUUAAUACAUUUUUCCAUAUCAAUCCACAUGCAAAUCAAUUUCAAUGCAAUAUACAUUUUUCAGUUUUCCACUCAAUAUUCACAUAUUCUAUUCAAUAUCAAUAAUCACUAAUAAUUCAUAAAUUUUUUAUUCAAUUCAAUAUCAUAAUAAUAAUACUUACCAUUCAUAUAAAUAAUAAAUUCAACAAAUAAUUAUUAGAUUUGGUUUAUAAAAAUACAAACCGUAGUUUUCAAGCUAACUCCUGUUGUCUUUGUCUUGUCCUUACUUAGUCGAGAUUUCCCGAGAUAACGUUAGCUACGAAAAUUAAAAUAAUUAUACCAUUAACUUUCAGCACUCAUUAUAACAAUUAAUUGAAUUUCUAUUCAAUUUACACCUUAUUUCCAAUUUAGGUCCUAACUAAUUCAUUCACUUUACUAACUUAAUUCAUUCUCCAUUUCUAUUCAAAUUCCAUCCAAACUCAAAUUUAAUUAUUAAAUUUUCACCUUAUCUCAUUAAUUUCGAAAUUUCCUCAAAUUAACCCCUACAACAUAAAACUUAUGAAUUACUUAACAAUUCAAUCCUUAUUUCAUUUCUAACUUGAAUUUCUAUCAAUUUAGCCCUUAAUUCAUCAUUUUAUUUAACAUAAACAAUAUUUAGAAAUCUAAUAAUUUUAAAAAUCUUAAUUUAAUUUCAUCAAAACUUUGUUCCAAAGCUUCUAAAACAUUAAAAUUAAGUAAAAAUGGCUAAAUUGACUUACCUAUUAAACUUCCAAGCUUCAAAAUCCCUAUUUUCCAUUUUUUCCUUUCUUUUUCUCCUUCCUUUCUUCUCUAUUUCUUUCUAUUCUUUUUCUUUUUCUUUUACUUUGUUCUAUUUUAUAUAUAAUAAUAAUAAUAAUAACUUACAUAAUAAGUAAAUAUACAUGUAUUUUACAAAUGUAGAUAUACUAAUAUUACACAUGUCACUAUACAUACCAUACAUUUGUCAACUUUUUAUUUAUUUUUCACAUAAAAAUCUUAUAAUAUAAUUAUUUAAUUAAUAAAUAUAUUUUAUAAAUAAUAAAUAUAUAUUAAUACUUAAAUACAAGCAUUACAAGUGUAUGUAUUUUUAUUAAUACACUUGUACCCAAUCAUUACCACACAUUUGUCUUACUUUUAUUUAUUUAUCAUAUAAUAUCAAUUUAAUAAUAAUAAAUACAUUAAUAUUUACUUAAAUAAUAAGCAAAUACAUACAUAUAUUACAAAUGUGUGUAUUAUAUUUAUUACACUUGUAGACACUUGGCACUCUUUUUGGCUUAUUUACUCAUUUAGUCCCUUCAAUUUUUUUAUUCUAUAAUUAAACUUUCACACUAUAUUCAAUUUAAUCCUUUUAUCCAAUUAUCCUUAAUUUAAGCUAAUUCACUUAAUUAAACUCUAAUUAAUCACUCAAUUAACUUCGUAAAUAUUUAUUACGAAUCCAUUUUUUAGAAACGGAGACCUGAAAAUAUACUUUUCCGGUAACGGUAAAAUUCAGGUCAUUACAUCAUUGAUGUGAAGAUAGAAUUAAAUUGGGAGAUGGAAAAGGAAGAGAUGUACUGGGAGCAGAGGGCGAGAUCGAAUUAGCUUAGCUAAGGGGACAGAAAUACGGCUUUCUUCCAUAGUCAAGCGUCCCAAAGAUGCAGAAUAAAUCGUAUCCGAGGGAUGGAGGAUAAAGAAGGUAUUCUCAAAACGGAAAGAAGAAGAUAUGGAAAUCAUAAUAAGGAGCUACUUUAUGAAGCUAUUCGAAUCUAAAGGAGUUGGUAAUACAAAUCACCUACUCUUAGGUUUUCGCUGCAGUAUUUCUGACAGUAUGGAUCAAAUGCUGGCUAAAGAUUAUAAAGAGGAGGAAAUUUUUGAAGCAAUAAAUAGUAUAGGGUCGACAAAAGCUUCUAGACUUGAUGGAUUUUCUGCAAUCUUCAUUGAAAAAUUUUGGCAUAUUAUAGGGAGGGAGGUAAGUGAUUUUUGCUUGGAAGUUCUUAAUAAAGGAAAAUCUCUUGAUCUUUUAAACCAUACGAAUAUCGUGCUAAUCCUAAAGAAUCCCACCCAAAAAGCCCAUCAGAAUUUAGACCAAUUAGCAUUUGCUCCGUCUUUUAUAAAAUAAUUUCAAAAUCUAUAGCAAACAGACUACAGAAAGUACUUGAUUUUUGCAUCGAUCCAGCUUAAAGCGCCUUUGUAUCGGGUGGAUUAAUUACAAAUAAUGUUCUUCUUGCAUAUGAAAUUCUACAAUCUAUGAAGAAUAAAAGGAUGGGGAAAAAAGGUCUGAUGGCUCUUAAGAUUGAUAUGAGCAAAGCCUAUGAUCGGGUGGAAUGGAAUUUCUUGGAACAAAUGAUGGCUAAAAUGGGAUUUUAUGAGUCUUGAAUUUAGCUUAUUAUGAGAUGCAUCAGUACGGUUUCGUAUUCAAUCAUUUUGAAUGGAAAGUCAGGGGAAGUGUUUCGUCCAGAGAGAGGCCUACAUCAAGGGGACCCUUUGAGUCCUUUUCUGUUCCUUAUAUACAGUGAGGGACUGUCUACAUUAUUAAGACUUGCAAGCGAGGAAGGAAUGCUGAAAGGAAUAAAGGCGAGUAGACGAGGCCCUCAGAUUACUCGCCUUCUUUUUGUAGAUGAUUGCGUGCUGUUUGGGGAAGCAAAUGAAAAAGGUGCAAAAACUUUUGGAAAGAUCUUAAAAGAGUACGAAGCCUGUUCGGGACAAUCCAUUAAUUAUGGAAAGUCAACAGUUUUCUUUAGCUCAAACACAACUGAAAUGAUUUGUUUAGCUAUCUCAAAUAAAUUGAGGGUGAAACGAACGAAUAACACAGAAAAAUAUCUGGGCUUGCCAAAUAUGGUGGGAAAGAGGAAAAGGUUAGCAUUCCAACACCUUAAAGAUCGAAUUAAAGCAAAAAUUAACUGUAGGAGUUCUCAAUUACUAUUGCAAGGGGAAAAGAAGUUUUCAUUAAAUCUGUGCUACAAGCAAUUCCAGCAUAUACAAUGGGAUGUUUUUUAUUACCGAAGUCAGUAUGCGUUGAUAUGGAACAAAUUAUAGCCAAGCAUUGGUGGUAAAAAGGGUUCGGGAGAAGGGGGAUACAUUGGUAGUCAUGGAAUAACUUAUGUGAAUUAAAUGAAUUCAGUGGUCUUGGUUAUUGUAAUUUUGCAAAUUUUAAUUUAGCCCUCUUCGCUAAGCAAGGAUGGCGAUUAAUUGAAAACCCCAAUUCUCUUUUAGCACAGAUGUUAAAGGCCAAAUAUUAUUUGAAUACUGAUUUUCUAAACUCAAAGCUAGGAAACUUACCUUCAUAUACUUGGAAAAUUAUAUGGGCUGCAAAAGGCCUUUUGCGGACUGGAUUAUGUUGGAGGGUGGGAAACGGCCGAAAUAUAAGUAUUGAAGAGGAUGUCUGGGCUCCGAAGGAUGAAAAUCUACAUAUUCAAAAAAUAGUAAGAAAUCAGAAUUUAUUGAAGGUAGCAGACCUAAUUGAUAGCAAUGCUAGAUCAUGGAAAACAGAGUUGAUUACAGAUACCUUUUCCGUAGAAGAUGCUCAGAGAAUACUCCAAAUCCCGCUUGCUCACUCCCGAUAGGACAACUUUAUGGCUUGGAGAGGCGAACCAACAGGCGAAUAUACAGUCCAAAGUGGGUACAGAUUACUCUUUCGAGGCAAUUCCAUCAAUAAUAAUAGAUACAAGCCAAAUGAAAACAGGAAAUGUUGCAAAAAAAUGUGGAAUAGUGACCUCCCCUCAAAAUUAAAAAUUAGAGCCUGGAGAGCCACUCUAAACUACCUUCCUACACUAUCAAAUCUACGCAUUAAAAGACUAGCUAAUGACGCCGUCUGCCCGAGAUGUCAGCAAGGUGUGGAGAAUAUGGAUCACGUCUUUCGAGAAUGCGCUACUUCAAGGGAAACAUGGAAUAGCUUAAAAUAUGACUGGCCUGAAAGAAUAGCAAAUCUGAAAUUUAUGGAAUGGUUUACUUGGAUCAUGCUAAGCAGCAGUACUGAUAUCUGUCGAUCAUUUCUAUGCACCAUUUGGGUUAUCUAGUCGGCUAGAAACAAAUGGAUUCACGAGGGUAAGAAAAUGUCAGGGACAGAGACGGCAAGAUUCAGCUUACAGUACUUACAAGAACUAAAUAACAUUAAAUGGGAAAAACUUGCCUUUAGCCCGAUAAGUGCAGAAUGGAGGCCUCCGAUUCAAGGUAUCUACAAAAUCAAUUUCGAUGCAGCAGUGGACCUUAAAACACAAAGGUCAUGUUCGGGACUCAUAGUCAGAGACUGGAAAGGGAAAAUCCUAGCCACAAAAACCAUAAAUCAUGAGAAUAUACCUUCGAGGUUUGCAGCCGAGUCUGUUGCAUGUUUACAGGCAGUUAUCUUAGGAAGGGAUCUAGGAUUAAAGUUUGUUGACAUUGAAGGGGAUUUUUUGACAGUGAUAAAAAAAGCUCAAACUAAGAGCAUAGACAAGUCGGUAAUCGGCGUAGACAUUCAAGACAUUCAAGAAAUGUGCAAGAUUUUCUAUGAAAGUAAGUUCAUUUAUGUACGAAGAAAAGCAAACGAACAAGCGCAUGAUCCGGUAUCAAAAGGCUUAAAAAUGGUAGAAAAGACUUACAUUAUUCACAGACCAGUUGCUGAGGGCGUCACAGAGGUAGAAAUUGAUCGAGGAUGGGGGUGAAGAAUUCCAACAGGUGGAUGAUUUAGAGAAGGAACCCUAAUGAAUACCAGUCUUUUGUCCUUCUCCAAGAGCUGUAAAUGAAAAUGAAGAUAUUUUAAGAAGAUUUUUAGGAAAUAACAGCUCAUUAAUGUUGGGUUGUCUUUUCAUGUCUUUUAUUAUUUUUGUUUUGCAAAGAGUGGCAGGCCCUUCG
rnacentral:lncRNA from 1 species